GUUUGAUCCUGGCUCAGAUUGAACGCUGGCGGAAUGCUUUACACAUGCAAGUCGAACGAUGAACCUUAGCUUGCUAGGGGGAUUAGUGGCGAACGGGUGAGUAAUAUAUCGGAACGUACCUUGUAAUGGGGGAUAACUAGUCGAAAGAUUAGCUAAUACCGCAUACGCCCUGAGGGGGAAAGUAGGGGAUCUUCGGACCUUACGUUAUAAGAGCGGCCGAUAUCUGAUUAGCUAGUCGGUGGGGUAAUGGCCUACCAAGGCGACGAUCAGUAGCUGGUCUGAGAGGACGACCAGCCACACUGGAACUGAGACACGGUCCAGACUCCUACGGGAGGCAGCAGUGGGGAAUUUUGGACAAUGGGCGCAAGCCUGAUCCAGCCAUUCCGCGUGAGUGAAGAAGGCCUUCGGGUUGUAAAGCUCUUUCGCAAGGGAAGAAAACUUACACAAUAACACUGUGUGAGGCUGACGGUACCUUGAUAAGAAGCACCGGCUAACUACGUGCCAGCAGCCGCGGUAAUACGUAGGGUGCGAGCGUUAAUCGGAAUUACUGGGCGUAAAGCGUGCGCAGGCGGUUUUGUAAGUCAGAUGUGAAAUCCCCGAGCUCAACUUGGGAACUGCGUUUGAAACUACAAGACUAGAAUAUGUCAGAGGGGGGUAGAAUUCCACGUGUAGCAGUGAAAUGCGCAGAGAUGUGGAGGAAUACCAAUGGCGAAGGCAGCCCCCUGGAAUAAUAUUGACGCUCAUGCACGAAAGCGUGGGGAGCAAACAGGAUUAGAUACCCUGGUAGUCCACGCCCUAAACGAUG
rnacentral:rRNA from 1 species